UAAAGAAAUGUUUAUCCAACCGAACGUGU
rnacentral:sRNA from 1 species